UGUCGCUCGGCACCGUUACGAGAAAUACAAAGUCUUUGGGUUCUGGGGGGAGUAUGGUCGCAAGGACUGAAACUUAAAGGAAUUGACGGAAGGGCACCACCAGGAGUAAACGUUCACAGCUAGCCGCAGUAGCUCUGCUCCGAACAGCAGCCCGAAAGGGUGAGGUGGUGGUCCUUUAUGAAACUCAAAUGCUAGUCCGCCUGGCGCGGGCAACACCCUCAAAUUGCGGGGAACUCCUAAAGCUUCGGAUACCAAGCCUCGUCAGCGAAAGCGCGGGGUGGCCAGGUUAAUAGCCUCGGGUAAGGUAAAAAUCCGAAGAUGUCACAAUGGACGAUCCGCAGCCAAGGCCCUAAGUCUUAUGUGCGCUCAGCUCACGAAGAUAUGGGACAGGUUCAGAGACUAGAUGGGGGUGGGUCAUCGAAUAGGAUGGCUUAAGGUAUAGUCCGGCCACGAGCGAAAGCUUGUGGGUUUGGGUGACCGAAUUCAAACGAAACGGGAGCCUGCGGCUUAAUUUGACUCAACACGG
rnacentral:rRNA from 1 species